CAGAGUCGGUGUUUCUCUCCGGGAAACUUUUCUCAUCACCUCGGAGGCUUGAUGCGGUGGCGUUUCUCCAUCAAUGGCGGACAACAGCGACAACAUGAACAGCAGCGACAGCUCUGCUGGACAGACAGACCUGCCCGGGUGGACACUUUAGGGGGAAUCUGAUGCAGUCCAGAGUUCCUAGAACAAGCCUGCUAUCUUCAUCUUGAACACAAGAAACCUGGUGAAGUCUCUAUCUUUAUGACCUAAAGUCAGUUUCCGAUCCAGACUUUCUCAGCUUCCUCAGUCGGCCCAGCUGCAGAGAUCUGAAGCCCUACCGAAUGCAAGACAGUGGGAGUUGGCUUAUGCACGCCCCCUGCUGGAGAACAGAAGGCAUGGCUCGCUUGUCGACCUGCUGACGCCUCAUGCGUACAACAGCGGCGUCCACCUGAGCUGCCGCUGUCUUGCUGUGCUGGUCGUCCAGCAGCUGCAGACAGGCCCGCUGUAGCCUCGUCAGCUCACCCUCGGAGGACGUUAGGCAUCGCCUCAGCACUGCACUGCCCUGAGAGACACACAAGAAACACACUUAGCCUUCUCUGGUUUGUUUGAGACACCCAGCAAAAGGGGAGGUUAGUGUUAAACCACUGAAUGCUUUUUUUAAAACUAUGGUGUGAACAUCUGCCAGCAUAUUUGAAUAUGAAGACAUCAUGGAGGGGAAAAGCUCCUAAUAUGUUAUAGGAAAGACUUCUAACUGAGAUUAAAGAUAUUCCUUGUAUUUAGGUCAGUGUAUGUUUUUGGGUUAGCCUCAACAACUUAUAAGGCGUUUAGGCAUUAUCAAGAGACAUGUCUCAGGUUUUGAUGGCUUUAGAUUAGUCAUGCAGAUUGUUGUCUGCAGAGUGCAAUCUGACAUAGUAUUUGCUUUUUUUCUCAUAAACUGUAUUCAAACUUCUUUACCAUUUUUUUAGUAAAGCAUACUUUAUAAUGUAUAAGUUGUCAUUAAUGGCUUCACGACGCCUAAUAAAUUGCAAAUUAGAAAUUUACACAUCAGAAAAAUAUUUGUUUCUGCAACAAUAAUAUGACAAUGUUGAGUUAACAGCUUUGAGACUGCUUGGAUCAGUUGUUAAUAAAUUAAUUUUGGUCUGGA